GUGGGGAAUAUUGCGCAAUGGGCGAAAGCCUGACGCAGCGACGCCGCGUGAGGGAUGAAGGCCUUCGGGUCGUAAAGCUCUGUCAUCAGGGACGAACGGCCGGUGGAGUGGAAAGCCACCGGAUUGACGGUACCUGAGAAGGAAGCCACGGCUAACUACGUGCCAGCAGCCGCGGUAAUACGUAGGUGGCAAGCGUUGUCCGGAAUUAUUGGGCGUAAAGCGCGCGCAGGUGGGAUCUUAAGUCCAUUUUUAAAGUUCGGAGCCCAACUCCGUGAUGGGAUGGAAACUGGGAUUCUUGAGUACCGGAGAGGAAAGCGGAAUUCCCCGUGUAGCGGUGAAAUGCGUAGAUAUGGGGAGGAACACCAGUGGCGAAGGCGGCUUUCUGGACGGUGUCUGACACUGAGGCGCGAAAGCCAGGGGAGCGAACGGGAUUAGAAACCCUGGUAGUCC
rnacentral:rRNA from 1 species